rnacentral:rRNA from 1 species
CGACUCCAUGAAGCUGGAUUCGCUAGUAAUCGCGCAUCAGCCACGGCGCGGUGAAUACGUUCCCGGGCCUUGUACACACCGCCCGUCACACCAUGGAAGUCUGCAAUGCCCGAAGCCGGUGGCCUAACCACUUAUGUGGAAGGAGCCGUCUAAGGCAGGGCAGAUGACUGGGGUGAAGUCGUAACAAGGUACC